UUGCUUUAGCAGCACAUAAUACUAAAACUGGAACAGCACAAAAAUUAGUAAUGGCCCCUGCACAAGAAUGACACACAAAAUGUUUCCAGAGAGAAUAAACAUUUUU
ensembl:snRNA U6 U6 spliceosomal RNA